GGAUUAGAUACCCUGGUAGUCCACGCCGUAAACGAUGGGUACUAGUUAUAUCGGGUGUUGACCCCCGGUGUGACGCAGCCAACGCGUUAAGUACCCCGCCUGGGGAGUACGGUCGCAAGAUUAAAACUCAAAGGAAUUGACGGGGGCCCGCACAAGCGGUGGAGCAUGUGGUUUAAUUCGACGCAACGCGCAGAACCUUACCCGGCCUUGACAUCCCAGGAACCCGCCCGAAAAGGUGGGGUGCCCUUCGGGGAACCUGGUGACAGGUGCUGCAUGGCUGUCGUCAGCUCGUGCUG
rnacentral:rRNA from 1 species